UAGGGAAUCUUCGGCAAUGGACGAAAGUCUGACCGAGCAACGCCGCGUGAGUGAAGAAGGUUUUCGGAUCGUAAAACUCUGUUGUUAGAGAAGAACAAGGACGUUAGUAACUGAACGUCCCCUGACGGUAUCUAACCAGAAAGCCACGGCUAACUACGUGCCAGCAGCCGCGGUAAUACGUAGGUGGCAAGCGUUGUCCGGAUUUAUUGGGCGUAAAGCGAGCGCAGGCGGUUUCUUAAGUCUGAUGUGAAAGCCCCCGGCUCAACCGGGGAGGGUCAUUGGAAACUGGGGGACUUGAGUGCAGAAGAGGAGAGUGGAAUUCCAUGUGUAGCGGUGAAAUGCGUAGAUAUAUGGAGGAAUACCAGUGGCGAAGGCGGCUCUCUGGUCUGUAACUGACGCUGAGGCUCGAAAGCGUGGGGAGCAAACAGG
rnacentral:rRNA from 1 species